UAGACCGGAGCUGUUCCUGUUCGGCCAUC
rnacentral:piRNA from 1 species